rnacentral:rRNA from 1 species
ACCUGGUUGAUCCUGCCAGUAGUCAUACGCUCGUCUCAAAGAUUAAGCCAUGCAUGUCUAAGUAUAACUCUUUUACUUUGAAAACUGCGAACGGCUCAUUAUAUCAGUUAUAGUUUCUUUGAUAGUCCCUUACUACUUGGAUAACCGUAGUAAUUCUAGAGCUAAUACAUGCUGUAAGCCCGACUUUUCGGAAGGGCCGUAUUUAUUAGAUAACAGACCAAUGCCCCCCCGGGNUUUGUGGUGACUCAUAGUAACUAAUCGGAUCGCAUGGGCCUGUCCCGCGACAAACCAUUCAAGUUUCUGCCCCCAUCAGCUUUCGAUGGUAGUGUAUUGGACUACCAUGGCUUUUACGGGUAACGGAGGAUUAGGGUUCGAUUCCGGAGAGGGAGCCUGAGAACGGCUACACAUCUAAGGAAGGCAGCAGGCGCGUAAAUUACCCAAUCCUGACACAGGGAGUAGUGACAAUAAAUAACAAUGCCGGGCCUUUACAGGUCAGGCAAUUGGAAUGAGAACAAUUUAAAUCCCUUAUCGAGUAUC